CCUGUGGCGAGGCGACGCGCUACGGCCCGGCAAAGGGAGGGAACCUGGGCCGGUGGCGCUGGGUCCGCGACCGGGGGUCUCGGGCCGGCUACUCGUCCGCGCGUGCUCUCGCGGGCGGACGGACAGCCGGAGCCCUGGGCUGUUUGUGCCCGAGAGGCGGGCUGAUGGGCAAGCAAACUGUUGCUUUUCUCCUUCCAUUGGAACCGAAACGGGGAGGGUUGGAAAAGCACGGGAAUGAACUGUAGGAGGCGGCUCGACAAAUGGGUGAGCCGUAAGGAGUGGUGAUUCCGAAAAGGUUGUCAGCACACUAAUGGUCCUUGGGAGGAAACUAUCUAGUGGUGGACGAUCGGGAUUGAUUGCCGCGGCGCUCCUCUUCUGGAACCUGAAGGCGAAGAAGGUGGGUCACGUGCGCAGGACGCGCUUUCCCUCCUCUUCGGUGCCCGUGUCCGGCUUGGAAAAUCCCCGAAGAUCGCGGUCGUCUGUCAAAUUCCGAAAACCCGUGUGGUCGCCUCUUGGGGCAGGAGAGCCGCCUCCUCAACUCCCAGAACGGAGUUCUUGUUCUACAAGCAAAUACGUGUCCACUGUCGGUCAGGAAAUAUUAAGGGAGAAAAAGCUUUGUUUUAUCUUCUCGCGCCGACAGAUCCACUGAAAAUCUCCGCAGUUGUGUAGCUUGAAUUGUCCGUUUGCGGGGUCCUGAAAGAGCGGUUUAAUAGUCGGUAGGUUCUGUGUGUAUUUUGGAAGAGCAAACGAGUGACUGAAAUCUGUUUUAAAAAUUAAUAGGAAAAUUUGUGGUAGGUCCAGUAAUUAAUUGAUAAACUCGUUAUUGUGAAAAUACUGAACGGAGCAUUUGCAUAGGUCUUGGGGGAUUGUAGCAGCUUGAUUAUAGGGGUGACAGGAAAAGGAAGAAGAGUGGUCCAAGUGAUCCACUUUUUUAAGGGAAUUCCAGCUACCGUACAUUCUACACGCCAGUCACAUAUACGUAGUAUGUUUGAUCAUUUUUUUCUGUCCCAUUUUCAAGAGGCGUCAUACAACAUCAAACUAAAAUGUAAUGCCACAACCUACAUGUAAGGUAAAAGAAAUUAUGAUAUGUCCACAUGAUGGUGUUUGUUAGGCAGCCAAUAAAAAUCAUUUUGUGUAA